ACUGCUAGUGUUCAGCUGUCGUCACGUGUCCCGAUGCAUAUAAAAGGUUGCGAGCAGAGCCCAGCCUCUUUAGUGUGACCUUGCGUAAGACAACGUUGCUGUCAUGUCGUCUGCAUUUGCACGGCUGCUGCGGAUCCCAGGCCUGGCUCAGGUGACGGGCAGAAGGGGAAUUGCUUCCAAACCCGCGCGGAGCCCAGUGGGAACUACGGAAUCCUUGGUGGGAUUCACCUCGUUUGUCAUCUGCUUCUUGAUCCCAUCCGGAUGGGUUCUUGCCAACAUGGACGCGUAUAAAAAGAGGAAUUAACCCACCACUCCAGGCCCAUUUACUACAUUCCAGUACAGCACCAUGAAACCAAGCUCCUCCCAUGUUGCUGAACCUGAUGAACGCACAUCUGUUGUACUGAUCUUAGAAUUUGCCAGUCUGUUACAUUAAAGCAUAUGUUUACACUC